rnacentral:misc_RNA from 1 species
UCGCGUCUUACGACGGCAGUUUCACUAGAGUUCCCAGCGUUACCUGAUGGCAACUAGUGAUGGGGGUUGCGCUCGUUGCGGGACUUAACCCAACAUCUCACGACACGAGCUGACGACAGCCAUGCAGCACCUGUGCACCAGCCCCGAAGGGAAGGCGACUUUCGCCACCUGUCUGGUGCAUGUCAAACCCAGGUAAGGUUCUUCGCGUUGCGUCGAAUUAAACCACAUGCUCCACCGCUUGUGCGGGCCCCCGUCAAUUCGUUUGAGUUUCAGCCUUGCGACCGUACUCCCCAGGCGGGGCACUUACUGCGUUAGCGCCGGCACCGACGGGAUGUAUACCGCCGACACCUAGUGCCCAUCGUUUACGGCGUGGACUAC